rnacentral:rRNA from 1 species
GAUGAACGCUAGCGGCAGGCCUAACACAUGCAAGUCGAGGGGUAAGGUUCAGCUUGCUGAACACACGACCGGCGAACGGGUGAGUAACGCGUUUGCAACCUACCCUUAACUGGAGGAUAGCUUCCGGAAACGGAAAUUAAUACUUCAUAAUAUUCUUACAGGGCAUCCUGUUUGAAUCAAAGCUCCGGCGGUUAAGGAUGGGCAUGCGUGACAUUAGCUUGUUGGUGAGGUAACGGCUCACCAAGGCCACGAUGUCUAGGGGGGUCUGGAGAGGAUGAUCCCCCA